AGGUAAGCUACUAAGAGCGAAUGGUGGAUGCCUUGACUGGUAAAGGCGAUGAAGGACGUACUAGACUGCGAUAAGCUACGGGGAGCUGUCAAGAAGCUUUGAUCCGUAGAUUUCCGAAUGGGGCAACCCAAUGUAUAGAGAUAUACAUUACCUAUAUAGGAGCGAACGAGGGGAAUUGAAACAUCUUAGUACCCUCAGGAAAAGAAAUCAAUAGAGAUUGCGUCAGUAGCGGCGAGCGAAAGCGCAAGAGGGCAAACCCAGUGCUUGCACUGGGGGUUGUAGGACUGCAAUGUGCAAGAGGUAAGUUUAGCAGAACAUUCUGGAAAGUAUAACCAUAGAGGGUGAUAGUCCCGUAUGCGAAAAACAAACCUUAGCUAGCAGUAUCCUGAGUAGGGCGGGACACGAGGAAUCCUGUCUGAAUCCGGGUCGACCACGAUCCAACCCUAAAUACUAAUACCAGAUCGAUAGUGCACAAGUACCGUGAGGGAAAGGUGAAAAGAACUGAGGUGAUCAGAGUGAAAUAGAACCUGAAACCAUUUGCUUACAAUCAUUCAGAGCCCUAUGUAGCAAUACAGGGUGAUGGACUGCCUUUUGCAUAAUGAGCCUGCGAGUUGUGGUGUCUGGCAAGGUUAAGCAAACGCGAAGCCGUAGCGAAAGCGAGUCUGAAUAGGGCGCUUAGUCAGAUGCUGCAGACCCGAAACGAAGUGAUCUAUCCAUGAGCAAGUUGAAGCUAGUGUAAGAACUAGUGGAGGACUGAACCCAUAGGCGUUGAAAAGCCCCGGGAUGACUUGUGGAUAGGGGUGAAAGGCCAAUCAAACUUCGUGAUAGCUGGUUCUCUCCGAAAUAUAUUUAGGUAUAGCGUUGUGUCGUAAUAUAAGGGGGUAGAGCACUGAAUGGGCUAGGGCAUACACCAAUGUACCAAACCCUAUCAAACUCCGAAUACCUUAUAUGUAAUCACAGCAGUCAGGCGGCGAGUGAUAAAAUCCGUCGUCAAGAGGGAAACAACCCAGACUACCAGCUAAGGUCCCUAAAUCUUACUUAAGUGGAAAACGAUGUGAAGUUACUUAAACAACCAGGAGGUUGGCUUAGAAGCAGCCAUCCUUUAAAGAAAGCGUAAUAGCUCACUGGUCUAGUGAUUUUGCGCGGAAAAUAUAACGGGGCUAAAGUAAGUACCGAAGCUGUAGACUUAGUUUACUAAGUGGUAGGAGAGCGUUCUAUUUGCGUCGAAGGUAUACCGGUAAGGAGUGCUGGAGCGAAUAGAAGUGAGCAUGCAGGCAUGAGUAGCGAUAAUUAAUGUGAGAAUCAUUAACGCCGUAAACCCAAGGUUUCCUACGCGAUGCUCGUCAUCGUAGGGUUAGUCGGGUCCUAAGUCGAGUCCGAAAGGGGUAGACGAUGGCAAAUUGGUUAAUAUUCCAAUACCAACAUUAGUGUGCGAUGGAAGGACGCUUAGGGCUAAGGGGGCUAGCGGAUGGAAGUGCUAGUCUAAGGUCGUAGGAGGUU
rnacentral:rRNA from 1 species